rnacentral:rRNA from 1 species
GAUAACCGUAGUAACACUAGAGCUAAUACGUGCGUAAAUCCCGACUUUUUGAAGGGACGUAUUUAUUAGAUUUAUGGCCAGCCGGGCUUGCCCGACCAGCGGUGAAUCAUGGUAACUUGACGGAUUGCAUGGCCUUUGUGCCGGCGACGUGUCAUUCAAGUUUCUGCCCCAUCAGGUUUCGACUGUAGUGUAUUGGACUACAGUGCCUAUAACGGGUAGCGGAGGAUUAGGGUUCGAUUCCGGAGAGGGAGCCUGAGAAACGGCUACCACAUCCAAGGAAGGCAGCAGGCGCGCAAAUUACCCAAUCCCAACUCAGGGAGGUAGUGACAAGAAAUAGCAAUGCGGGGCUUAUUUGUUCGGCAAUUGGAAUGAGUACAAUUUAAAUCACUUAACGAGUAUCAAUUGGAGGGCAAGUCUGGUGCCAGCAGCCGCGGUAAUUCCAGCUCCAAUAGCGUAUAUGUAAGUUGUUGCGAUUAAAAAGCCCGUAGCUGAACCUCGGGCAACCCUGACGGUCCGCGUUUCGUGAGUACUGUCGUGGGUUGUCUUUCUGGCAAGACCGUAUCUCGGCGUUAACUCGCCGGGAACGGCGCUUGCCAAGGUUACUUUGAGUAAAAUAGAGUGUUCAAAGCAAGCUCGCGCUCUGAAUACACUAGCAUGGGAUAACACGACAUGACCGAUGGUCUAUCUUGUUGGCCUGUAAACCUGUUGGUAAUGGCUAAUAGGGACGGUCGGGGGCAUUCGUAUUUCGCUGUCAGAGGUGAAAAUUCUUGGAUUUGCAACAGACUAACUACUGCGAAAGCUUUUGCCAAGGACGCUUUACUUUA